GGGUUGUGAGGUUAAGCGACUAAGCGUACACGGUGGAUGCCCUGGCAGUCAGAGGCGAUGAAGGGCGUGCUAAUCUGCGAUAAGCGCCGGUAAGGUGAUAUGAACCGUUAUAACCGGCGAUACCCGAAUGGGGAAACCCAGUGUGACUCGUCACACUAUCAUUAACUGAAUCCAUAGGUUAAUGAGGCGAACCGGGGGAACUGAAACAUCUAAGUACCCCGAGGAAAAGAAAUCAACCGAGAUUCCCCCAGUAGCGGCGAGCGAACGGGGAGGAGCCCAGAGCCUGAAUCAGCAUGUGUGUUAGUGGAAGCGUCUGGAAAGGCGCGCGAUACAGGGUGACAGCCCCGUACACAAAAGCGCAUGUGCUGUGAGCUCGAUGAGUAGGGCGGGACACGUGGUAUCCUGUCUGAAUAUGGGGGGACCAUCCUCCAAGGCUAAAUACUCCUGACUGACCGAUAGUGAACCAGUACCGUGAGGGAAAGGCGAAAAGAACCCCGGCGAGGGGAGUGAAAAAGAACCUGAAACCGUGUACGUACAAGCAGUGGGAGCACCCUUUGGGGUGUGACUGCGUACCUUUUGUAUAAUGGGUCAGCGACUUAUAUUCUGUAGCAAGGUUAACCGAAUAGGGGAGCCGCAGGGAAACCGAGUCUUAAUUGGGCGUUAAGUUGCAGGGUAUAGACCCGAAACCCGGUGAUCUAGCCAUGGGCAGGUUGAAGGUUGGGUAACACUAACUGGAGGACCGAACCGACUAAUGUUGAAAAAUUAGCGGAUGACCUGUGGCUGGGGGUGAAAGGCCAAUCAAACCGGGAGAUAGCUGGUUCUCCCCGAAAGCUAUUUAGGUAGCGCCUCGUGAAUUCAUCUCCGGGGGUAGAGCACUGUUUCGGCUAGGGGGCCAUCCCGGCUUACCAACCCGAUGCAAACUGCGAAUACCGGAGAAUGUUAUCACGGGAGACACACGGCGGGUGCUAACGUCCGUCGUGAAGAGGGAAACAACCCAGACCGCCAGCUAAGGUCCCAAAGUCAUGGUUAAGUGGGAAACGAUGUGGGAAGGCCCAGACAGCCAGGAUGUUGGCUUAGAAGCAGCCAUCAUUUAAAGAAAGCGUAAUAGCUCACUGGUCGAGUCGGCCUGCGCGGAAGAUGUAACGGGGCUAAACCAUGCACCGAAGCUGCGGCAGCGA
rnacentral:rRNA from 1 species